rnacentral:ncRNA from 1 species
AGUUCGGUCCCUAUCCGCUGCGCGCGUAGGAAAUUUGAGAGGAUCUGACCCUAGUACGAGAGGACCGGGUUGGACGAACCUCUGGUGUGCCAGUUGUUCUGCCAAGAGCACCGCUGGUUAGCUACGUUCGGGAUGGAUAACCGCUGAAAGCAUCUAAGCGGGAAGCCGGCCUCAAGAUGAGAUUUCCAUGCCUUCGGGCGAGAGGCUCCCAGCCAGACUACUGGGUUGAUAGGCGAGAUGUGGAAGCGUGGUAACACGUGCAGCUGACUCGUACUAAUAAGCCGAUGACUUGAUAAC